rnacentral:rRNA from 1 species
ACCUCUGCAAUAGGCGAAAGCCUGACAGGGUUACUCUGAGUGACUUUCGUUAAGAGAGUCUUUUGGCACCUCUAAAAAGGGUGUAGAAUAAGGGGUGGGCAAGUCUGGUGUCAGCCGCCGCGGUAAUACCAGCACCCCGAGUGGUCGGGACGAUUAUUGGGCCUAAAGCAUCCGUAGCCGGUUCUGCAAGUCCUCCGUUAAAUCCAACUGCUUAACAGAUGGGCCGCGGAGGAUACUACAGAGCUAGGAGGCAGGAGAGGCAAGCGGUACUCAGUGGGUAGGGGUAAAAUCCGUUGAUCCAUUGAAGACCACCAGUGGCGAAGGCGGCUUGCCAGAAUGCGCUCGACGGUGAGGGAUGAAAGCUGGGGGAGCAAACCGGAUUAGAUACCCGGGUAGUCCCAGCCGUAAACGAUGCAGACUCGGUGAUGGGUUGGCUUCGUGCUAACCCAGUGCCGCAGGGAAGCCGUUAAGUCUGCCGCCUGGGUAGUACGGUCGCAAGACUGAAACUUAA